rnacentral:rRNA from 1 species
UACGAAGGGGGCUAGCGUUGCUCGGAAUUACUGGGCGUAAAGGGAGCGUAGGCGGAUAGUUUAGUCAGAGGUGAAAGCCCAGGGCUCAACCUUGGAAUUGCCUUUGAUACUGGCUAUCUUGAGUACGGAAGAGGUAUGUGGAACUCCGAGUGUAGAGGUGAAAUUCGUAGAUAUUCGGAAGAACACCAGUGGCGAAGGCGACAUACUGGUCCGUUACUGACGCUGAGGCUCGAAAGCGUGGGGAGCAACAGGA